AUAAACCUGGCCCCCUCUUUGGGAGAGCUGUUGGACGCGGCAGCUAAUACCGGAUAUUCUCCUUCCUGCGCAUGUGGGGGGGUGGAAAGUUUUUUCGGUGGGGGAUGGGCUCGCGGCCUAUCAGCUUGUUGGCGGGGUAACGGCCCACCAAGGCAUCGACGGGUAGCUGGUCUGAGAGGACGAUCAGCCACACUGGGACUGAGACACGGCCCAGACUCCUACGGGAGGCAACAGUGGGGAAUCUUGCGCAAUGGGCGAAAGCCUGACGCAGCAACGCCGCGUGGGGGAUGAAGGCUCUCGGGUCGUAAACCCCUUUCAGCAGGGACGAAAUUGACGGUACCUGCAGAAGAAGCCCCGGCCAACUACGUGCCAGCAGCCGCGGUAACACGUAGGGGGCAAGCGUUGUCCGGAUUUAUUGGGCGUAAAGAGCUCGUAGGCGGUUCGGCAAGUCGGGUGUGAAACCUCCAGGCUCAACCUGGAGACGCCACUCGAUACUGCUGUGACUAGAGUCCGGUAGGGGAGCGUGGAAUUCCUGGUGUAGCGGUGAAAUGCGCAGAUAUCAGGAGGAACACCAGCGGCGAAGGCGGCGCUCUGGGCCGGAACUGACGCUGAGGAGCGAAAGCGUGGGGAGCGAAUGGGAUUAGAUACCCCAGUAGUC
rnacentral:rRNA from 1 species